UACGGAGGGUGCAAGCGUUAAUCGGAAUUACUGGGCGUAAAGCGCGCGUAGGCGGCGUGUUAAGCUAGAUGUGAAAGCCCCGGGCUUAACCUGGGAAUUGCAUCUGGAACUGGCAUGCUAGAGUGCGGUAGAGGGAGGUGGAAUUUCCGGUGUAGCGGUGACAUGCGUAGAGAUCGGAAGGAACACCAGUGGCGAAGGCGGCCUCCUGGACUGACACUGACGCUGAGGUGCGAAAGUGUGGGGAGCAAACAGG
rnacentral:misc_RNA from 1 species